rnacentral:rRNA from 1 species
GACGAACGCUGGCGGCGUGCCUAAUACAUGCAAGUAGAACGCUGAAGGAGGAGCUUGCUUCUCUGGAUGAGUUGCGAACGGGUGAGUAACGCGUAGGUAACCUGCCUGGUAGCGGGGGAUAACUAUUGGAAACGAUAGCUAAUACCGCAUAAGAGUAGAUGUUGCAUGACAUUUGCUUAAAAGGUGCAAUUGCAUCACUACCAGAUGGACCUGCGUUGUAUUAGCUAGUUGGUGAGGUAACGGCUCACCAAGGCGACGAUACAUAGCCGACCUGAGAGGGGGAACGGCCACACUGGGACUGAGACACGGCCCAGACUCCUACGGGAGGCAACAGUAGGGAAUCUUCGGCAAUGGACGGAAGUCUGACCGAGCAACGCCGCGUGAGUGAAGAAGGUUUUCGGAUCGUAAAGCUCUGUUGUAAGAGAAGAACGAGUGUGAGAGUGGAAAGUUCACACUGUGACGGUAUCUUACCAGAAAGGGACGGCUAACUACGUG